CGCCAUGUUUUCGCGCCAAAGUUUUGACGGCUGUCAUUUUCGUUGACAACGAUUUAAAAUUGGAAUAAUGGCCGCGUUUAACGUUUCUUUUUUUGUUGUUUUCGGCAAAAGUUUUCUUUUACGAUUUAUUAAUAACUUACGUCUUCAGGAAAUUGUUAUUGUUUAAAAAUGUGUCAGGAAUAUUAUAAGACAUUUUAGUGUAUUAAAAAAUAGAAACGUACAGUGUACCACAACUAUUAUGUAGCAUUUGUUGUUGUUGUCAUUUUACUGUUGCAGCACUCACCCGGGUCGUUGAUGUCGACGAGCGAGUUGCUCAGCACGUUCCGCUUGAUGAUG